rnacentral:pre_miRNA from 1 species
AUUAUUUGGGAAUCUUGUUAAAAUGCAGAUUCUGAUUCAGUACAUCUGGGGCCCUGAGAGUCUGCAUUUCUAACCUGCUCCCAGGUGAUGCUAA